ACUGCUAGAGGCACACCCCUUGGUGAUGUUCGAGGGCCUAACAUUGAUGCAGAAAUCAUUAGCUGUCAACCCUGAUCUCGAGGUUUUGAGUAACCAAGUUACAAUGGGAGAACCGAGUGCACCUGAUCUCGAGAUUUUGAGUAAGCAAGUUACAAUGGGAGAACUGUCUGCACCUGAUCUCGAGAUUUUGAGUAACCAAGUUACGAUGGGAGAACCGAGUGCACCUUAUCUCGAGGUUUUGAGUAACCAAGUUACAAUGGGAGAACCGAGUGCAUAGGCUUUGUAGCUUAUGCUCUCUAAUGGAUGAUUAGAAGCCCGACCUUUGUAUAUAGGGCUUUGUAGCGUAUAUGUAGCGGCAUAUGCUCUCAUGUCCUAGUGCUUUAGGUGCCUCAUUUCAAGCCUGUGAAGUCAGUUUAGUACUGUAGAUCUUAGAGGUUAGUCCGUUGCAGUAGUAUGUUGUGUCAGCAGAUCGUUUUUGGUGGAAAAUUUUGAGCUCUUUGAGUCUCUUAGAGCAUCUCCAAUAGACGAUGUAGAUGCAAAAAUAACUAUCUUUUACAUCUCCGAGGCCCCAAAACACUGCUCCAACA
rnacentral:lncRNA from 1 species